GUGGGUGUAGCUCAAUGGUGGAGCCCCAGAUUGUGGAUCUGGAUGUUGCGGGUUCGAGCCCCGUCAUCCACC
rnacentral:tRNA from 1 species